UACGAAGGGGGCUAGCGUUGUUCGGAAUUACUGGGCGUAAAGCGCACGUAGGCGGAUAUUUAAGUCAGGGGUGAAAUCCCAGAGCUCAACUCUGGAACUGCCUUUGAUACUGGGUAUCUUGAGUAUGGUAGAGGUAAGUGGAAUUGCGAGUGUAGAGGUGAAAUUCGUAGAUAUUCGCAGGAACACCAGUGGCGAAGGCGGCUUACUGGUCCAUUACUGACACUGAAUCGCGAAAGCUAGGGGAGCAAACGGG
rnacentral:rRNA from 1 species